rnacentral:rRNA from 1 species
GGACCGGGGGCCCGCACAAGCGGAGGAGCAUGUGGUUUAAUCGAUGAUACGCGAGGAACCUUACCGUGGGCUCGAACGUAAGAUGACUGUAGGUGAAAGCUUACAUCUCUUCGGAGCAUUUUACGAGGUGCUGCAUGGUUGUCGUCAGCUCGUGCCGUGAGGUGUCGGGUUAAGUCCCAUAACGAGCGCAACCCUACCUUUAGUUGCCAUCAGGUAAUGCUGGGGACUCUAAAGGAACUGCCUACGCAAGUAGUGAGGAAGGCGGGGAUGACGUCAAAUCAGCACGGCCCUUACGUCCAGGGCUACACACGUGCUACAAUGGCCGAUACAGAGGGCAGCUACCUGGUGACAGGAUGCAAAUCUCCAAAGUCGGUCUCAGUUCGGAUCGGAGUCUGCAACCCGGCUCCGUGAAGUUGGAUUCGCUAGUAAUCGCGCAUCAGCCAUGGCGCGGUGAAUACGUUCCCGGGCCUU